UUGAAAUAAUAGUGACUGGAAGUUAAGCUUGCAAAGAAGAGAUGGUGAUGGGUGUCGUACUUAUUCUGGUUGAGUGGAGAAAUGAAGUACCUGGUAUGGUCUUGUAAUCAUGACUCUCUUGAGCAAUGAAAUACGCACUGCGAAAAAGUUUAGAACGUUAUACUAAAGUAUAAAAAUGUGGAAGGUGUGGUUUCGGAGUUUAACUCUGAAGUAGUUUAUGUUUUCACUAGUAGCUUGAAGUUAGGCUAAAGAAAAAUCGGAGGAAUGUGUGUUCUACUUAUUUCGAUUGAGUGGAGGAAUGGAGUAUUUGGUGUUGUAAUCGUGAGUAGCUUGAGCGAUCAAACAUGCGUUACGGAAAAGAACAGACGAAACGAAAUGCUGAAGUUAAAAAAAUGUUGAAAGUAUGGUUUCCUAUAUGAUGGGAAGGUGAACUUUGAAAUAAUAGUGACUGGAAGUUAAGCUUGCAAAGAAGAGAUGGUGAUGGGUGUCGUACUUAUUCUGGUUGAGUAGAGAAAUGAAGUACCUGGUAUGGUCUUGUAAUCAUGACUCUCUUGAGCAAUGAAAUACGCACUGCGAAAAAGUUUAGAACGUUAUACUAAAGUAUAAAAAUGUGGAAGGUGUGGUUUCGGAGUUGAACUCUGAAGUGGUUUAUGUUUUCACUAGUAGCUUGAAGUUAGGCUAAAGAAAAAUCGGAUACUUAUUUCGAUUGAGUGGAGGAAUGGAGUAUUUGGUGUUGUAAUCGUGAGUAGCUUGAGCGAUCAAACAUGCGUUACAGAAAAGAACGGACGAAAGGAAAUGCUGAAGUUAAAAAAAUGUUGAAAGUAUGGUUUCCUAUAUGAUGGGAAGGUGAACUUUGAAAUAAUAGUGACUGGAAGUUAAGCUUGCAAAGAAGAGAUGGUGAUGGGUGUCGUACUUAUUCUGGUUGAGUGGAGAAAUGAAGUACCUGGUAUGGUCUUGUAAUCAUGACUCUCUUGAGCAAUGAAAUACGCACUGCGAAAAAGUUUAGAACGUUAUACUAAAGUAUAAAAAUGUGGAAGGUGUGGUUUCGGAGUUUAACUCUGAAGUAGUUUAUGUUUUCACUAGUAGCUUGAAGUUAGGCUAAAGAAAAAUCGGAGGGAAUGUGUGUUCUACUUAUUUCGAUUGAGUGGAGGAAUGGAGUAUUUGGUGUUGUAAUCGUGAGUAGCUUGAGCGAUCAAACAUGCGUUACGGAAAAGAACAGACGAAACGAAAUGCUGAAGUUAAAAAAAUGUUGAAAGUAUGGUUUCCUAUAUGAUGGGAAGGUGAACUUUGAAAUAAUAGUGACUGGAAGGUAUGCUUGUAAAGAAGAGAUGGAGAUGGGUGUUUUACUUGUUCUGGUUGAGUGGAGAAAUGAAGUACCUGGUAUGUUUUGUAAUCAUGACUAGCUUGAGCAAUGAAAUAGGCACUGCGAAAAAUUUCAGAACGUUAUAAUAAAGUAUAAAAAUGUGGAAGGUGUGGUUUCAUAUUUGAUUAGGUGAACUUUAAAGUGGUAUUUGUUUUGACUAGUAGCCAAAAGUCAUGCUAAACGAAAAAUUGCAGAUGUGCAUUUUUCAUCUUGCUUCAAAUUAGUAAAACAAUGAAGUACUUGAUAUCAAAAUCAUGACUUAGCUCCAGGGAUCAAACAUGCGUUAGGGAAAAAAACUGAUAAAUGGAAUGCUGAAGUUAAAAAGAUGUUAAGGUUAUGGGUGUCGUACUUAUUCUGGUUGAGUGGAGAAAUGAAGUACCUGGUAUGGUCUUGUAAUCAUGACUAGCUUGAGCAAUGAAAUAAGCACUGCGAAAAAUUUCAGAACGUUAUACCGAAGUAUAAAGAUGUGGAAGGUGUGGUUUCGGAGUUGAACUCUGAAGUGGUUUAUGUUUUCACUAGUAGCUUGAAGUUAGGCUAAAGAAAAAUCGGAUACUUAUUUCGAUUGAGUGGAGGAAUGGAGUAUUUGGUGUUGUAAUCGUGAGUAGCUUGAGCGAUCAAACAUGCGUUACGGAAAAGAACGGACGAAAGGAAAUGCUGAAGUUAAAAAAAUGUUGAAAGUAUGGUUUCCUAUAUGAUGGGAAGGUGAACUUUGAAAUAAUAGUGACUGGAAGUUAAGCUUGCAAAGAAGAGAUGGUGAUGGGUGUCGUACUUAUUCUGGUUGAGUGGAGAAAUGAAGUACCUGGUAUGGUCUUGUAAUCAUGACUAGCUUGAGCAAUGAAAUAAGCACUGCGAAAAAUUUCAGAACGUUAUACCGAAGUAUAAAGAUGUGGAAGGUGUGGUUUCGGAGUUGAACUCUGAAGUGGUUUAUGUUUUCACUAGUAGCUUGAAGUUAAGCUAAAGAAAAAUCGGAUACUUAUUUCGAUUGAGUGGAGGAAUGGAGUAUUUGGUGUUGUAAUCGUGAGUAGCUUGAGCGAUCAAACAUGCGUUACGGAAAAGAACGGACGAAAGGAAAUGCUGAAGUUAAAAAAAUGUUGAAAGUAUGGUUUCCUAUAUGAUGGGAAGGUGAACUUUGAAAUAAUAGUGACUGGAAGUUAAGCUUGCAAAGAAGAGAUGGUGAUGGGUGUCGUACUUAUUCUGGUUGAGUGGAGAAAUGAAGUACCUGGUAUGGUCUUGUAAUCAUGACUCUCUUGAGCAAUGAAAUACGCACUGCGAAAAAGUUUAGAGCGUUAUACUAAAGUAUAAAAAUGUGGAAGGUGUGGUUUCGGAGUUUAACUCUGAAGUAGUUUAUGUUUUCACUAGUAGCUUGAAGUUAGGCUAAAGAAAAAUCGGAGGAAUGUGUGUUCUACUUAUUUCGAUUGAGUGGAGGAAUGGAGAAUUUGGUGUUGUAAUCGUGAGUAGCUUGAGCGAUCAAACAUGCGUUACGGAAAAGAAGGGACGAAACGAAAUGCUGAAGUUAAAAAAAUGUUGAAAGUAUGGUUUCCUAUAUGAUGGGAAGGUGAACUUUGAAAUAAUAGUGACUGGAAGUUAAGCUUGCAAAGAAGAGAUGGUGAUGGGUGUCGUACUUAUUCUGGUUGAGUAGAGAAAUGAAGUACCUGGUAUGGUCUUGUAAUCAUGACUCUCUUGAGCAAUGAAAUACGCACUGCGAAAAAGUUUAGAACGUUAUACUAAAGUAUAAAAAUGUGGAAGGUGUGGUUUCGGAGUUGAACUCUGAAGUGGUUUAUGUUUUCACUAGUAGCUUGAAGUUAGGCUAAAGAAAAAUCGGAUACUUAUUUCGAUUGAGUGGAGGAAUGGAGUAUUUGGUGUUGUAAUCGUGAGUAGCUUGAGCGAUCAAACAUGCGUUACAGAAAAGAACGGACGAAAGGAAAUGCUGAAGUUAAAAAAAUGUUGAAAGUAUGGUUUCCUAUAUGAUGGGAAGGUGAACUUUGAAAUAAUAGUGACUGGAAGUUAAGCUUGCAAAGAAGAGAUGGUGAUGGGUGUCGUACUUAUUCUGGUUGAGUGGAGAAAUGAAGUACCUGGUAUGGUCUUGUAAUCAUGACUCUCUUGAGCAAUGAAAUACGCACUGCGAAAAAGUUUAGAACGUUAUACUAAAGUAUAAAAAUGUGGAAGGUGUGGUUUCGGAGUUUAACUCUGAAGUAGUUUAUGUUUUCACUAGUAGCUUGAAGUUAGGCUAAAGAAAAAUCGGAGGAAUGUGUGUUCUACUUAUUUCGAUUGAGUGGAGGAAUGGAGUAUUUGGUGUUGUAAUCGUGAGUAGCUUGAGCGAUCAAACAUGCGUUACGGAAAAGAACAGACGAAACGAAAUGCUGAAGUUAAAAAAAUGUUGAAAGUAUGGUUUCCUAUAUGAUGGGAAGGUGAACUUUGAAAUAAUAGUGACUGGAAGGUAUGCUUGUAAAGAAGAGAUGGAGAUGGGUGUUUUACUUGUUCUGGUUGAGUGGAGAAAUGAAGUACCUGGUAUGUUUUGUAAUCAUGACUAGCUUGAGCAAUGAAAUAGGCACUGCGAAAAAUUUCAGAACGUUAUAAUAAAGUAUAAAAAUGUGGAAGGUGUGGUUUCAUAUUUGAUUAGGUGAACUUUAAAGUGGUAUUUGUUUUGACUAGUAGCCAAAAGUCAUGC
rnacentral:lncRNA from 1 species